CAGUAGCCACGGGAACACGUAGGGUGCGAGCGUUAAUCGGAAUUACUGGGCGUAAAGCGUGCGCAGGCGGUUUUGUAAGACAGGCGUGAAAUCCCCGGGCUCAACCUGGGAAUGGCGCUUGUGACUGCAAAGCUAGAGUGCGGCAGGGGCAGAGGGAAUUUCCGGUGGAGCAGUGAAAUGCGUUGAGAUCGGAAAGAACACCAACGGCGAAAGCACUCUGCUGGGCCGACACUGACACUGAGAGAGGAAAGCUAGGGGAGCAAAUGGGAUUAGAUACCCCUGUAGUCCCUGUCUCUUAUAC
rnacentral:rRNA from 1 species